UUACGGCCAUAUAGCGUUGAAACACUGAUUCCCAUAUGAUCACCUAACUUAAGCAUCGUCGAGCCUGGUCAGUAUCUAGAUGGGUGAUUGCUUGGGAAUACCACGUGCUGUAAG